rnacentral:rRNA from 1 species
UGGGGAAUUUUGGACAAUGGGCGCAAGCCUGAUCCAGCCAUGCCGCGUGCGGGAAGAAGGCCUUCGGGUUGUAAACCGCUUUUGUCAGGGAAGAAAUCUUCUGAGUUAAUACCUCGGGAGGAUGACGGUACCUGAAGAAUAAGCACCGGCUAACUACGUGCCAGCAGCCGCGGUAAUACGUAGGGUGCAAGCGUUAAUCGGAAUACUGGGCGUAAAGCGUGCGCAGGCGGUUUUGUAAGACAGAGGUGAAAUCCCCGGGCUCAACCUGGGAACUGCCUUUGUGACUGCAAGGCUUGAGUGCGGCAGAGGGGGAUGGAAUUCCGCGUGUAGCAGUGAAAUGCGUAGAUAUGCGGAGGAACACCGAUGGCGAAGGCAAUCCCCUGGGCCUGCACUGACGCUCAUGCACGAAAGCGUGGGGAGCAAACAGGAUUAGAUACCCUGGUAGU